GGUAGAAUUUAUGAGGCAAGAUUGG
rnacentral:piRNA from 1 species